ACCUGUUUGACAGGCGCGUUCCCCACCAAUAAUACCGUUACAGAACUGACUUUUUUUCUCCUUAUUCGCUGGACGUCUUGGCUUUCGUUCGAGGUCACUAUCUCUACAUAAAUAGCUGGCGCUAUAUGCUACGCACAUGCGAGAACUUUGGAGUUUGAACUCGCCUGUAUAUGUGAUUCUAUAGACAUAUAUACGCAAGAAUGAAUGAUAACGAGGAAUAAAUACAUAACUCACUGGUACAAUAAUAAACGAGCACCGGCACUGCCAAUCGUAGCUCUAGAACUGAUCGAAAUCUUAGUUUUCCAACUUCUGUACGGCAAAAGGUGUAAUAAAAAAAUGUU